GACUAGUUAGCAUGGAGGGUAGCGCUUCUGCCUUGUAAGCGAUAGAUUGCGGGUUCGAUUCCCGCCCUAGGCG
rfam:Asian citrus Psyllid, Diaphorina citri - Florida Strain, whole genome shotgun sequence.